rnacentral:rRNA from 1 species
UACGGGGGGGAGCAAGCGUUGUUCGGAUUUACUGGGCGUAAAGGGCGCGUAGGCGGUCGACCAAGUCUGGGGUGAAAUCUUUCGGCUUAACCGGAAAAGUGCCCCCGAUACUGGCCGGCUAGAGGGAGAUAGGGGCAUGUGGAACUUCCGGUGGAGCGGUGAAAUGCGUAGAUAUCGGAAGGAACGCCGGUGGCGAAAGCGACGUGCUGGAUCUCUUCUGACGCUGAGGCGCGAAAGCCAGGGGAGCAAACGGG